rnacentral:rRNA from 1 species
GACGAACGCUGGCGGCGUGCUUAACACAUGCAAGUCGAACGGAAAGGCCCUGCUUUUGUGGGGUGCUCGAGUGGCGAACGGGUGAGUAACACGUGAGUAACCUGCCCUUGACUUUGGGAUAACUUCAGGAAACUGGGGCUAAUACCGGAUAGGAGCUCCUGCUGCAUGGUGGGGGUUGGAAAGUUUCGGCGGUUGGGGAUGGACUCGCGGCUUAUCAGCUUGUUGGUGGGGUAGUGGCUUACCAAGGCUUUGACGGGUAGCCGGCCUGAGAGGGUGACCGGCCACAUUGGGACUGAGAUACGGCCCAGACUCCUACGGGAGGCAGCAGUGGGGAAUAUUGCACAGUGGGCGGAAGCCUGAUGCAGCAACGCCGCGUGCGGGAUGACGGCCUUCGGGUUGUAAACCGCUUUCGCCUGUGACGAAGCGUGAGUGACGGUAAUGGGUAAAGAAGCACCGGCUAACUACGUGCCAGCAGCCGCGGUGAUACGUAGGGUGCGAGCGUUGUCCGGAUUUAUUGGGCGUAAAGGGCUCGUAGGUGGUUGAUCGCGUCGGAAGUGUAAUCUUGGGGCUUAACCCUGAGCGUGCUUUCGAUACGGGUUGACUUGAGGAAGGUAGGGGAGAAUGGAAUUCCUGGUGGAGCGGUGGAAUGCGCAGAUAUCAGGAGGAACACCAGUGGCGAAGGCGGUUCUCUGGGCCUUUCCUGACGCUGAGGAGCGAAAGCGUGGGGAGCGAACAGGCUUAGAUACCCUGGUAGUCCACGCUGUAAACGGUGGGUACUAGGUGUGGGGUCCAUUCCACGGGUUCCGUGCCGUAGCUAACGCUUUAAGUACCCCGCCUGGGGAGUACGGCCGCAAGGCUAAAACUCAAAGGAAUUGACGGGGCCCCGCACAAGCGGCGGAGCAUGCGGAUUAAUUCGAUGCAACGCGUAGAACCUUACCUGGGUUUGACAUGGAUCGGGAGCGCUCAGAGAUGGGUGUGCCUCUUUUGGGGUCGGUUCACAGGUGGUGCAUGGCUGUCGUCAGCUCGUGUCGUGAGAUGUUGGGUUAAGUCCCGCAACGAGCGCAACCCUUGUUCACUGUUGCCAGCACGUUAUGGUGGGGACUCAGUGGAGACCGCCGGGGUCAACUCGGAGGAAGGUGGGGAUGACGUCAAGUCAUCAUGCCCCUUAUGUCCAGGGCUUCACGCAUGCUACAAUGGCUGGUACAGAGAGUGGCGAGCCUGUGAGGGUGAGCGAAUCUCGGAAAGCCGGUCUCAGUUCGGAUUGGGGUCUGCAACUCGACCUCAUGAAGUCGGAGUCGCUAGUAAUCGCAGAUCAGCAACGCUGCGGUGAAUACGUUCCCGGG